UUCAAAUUCCUGCAAUUAGAUAAAGGAACAACACUAUAGAAAAGAUUUGUACAAAAAUGCACAAUGCCAAAACACUAGAUUCCUUACAACCGAAUUACACAAUUCGUCUCUUGUUCAACUUUUGUGCUCGCUAAAAUAGCUAAUUUGAAAACACCGAGCUAAGCUUUAACAUGGUUAAACCCUUAAAUUGAGGAACCAGAUUUAUACCUCGUUAUUGAGGAGGUUUAGAAAAUCAAUAUUUCUUGGAAAUGAUAGGGGCAAGUAAACUUGUGCAGGAGGGUGUGAGAUGCCGCUACUGAUAUAUUUAUAUAACAACAGUUCACAAGCCAUCAUCAGUCUCGAAGCAAAUACUGAUAAGAUCAAACAACGUUGUAUUUUAAUAGAAUGGGCAUUCUCGAUCAAGUCACAACUGCAAAGCGAAUAAUCAAUCAUGGAUGAUGCCAAAGUGCUGCGGUUGAAGGUGAAGCAAAAUGUAGCAUUGAGUGAGGAGUAGUAAAGAACGCUUUACAGAAUACAAGUAAGAAAUAAUUGAUCAAGUUAGGUCGAAUGUUUGGUUUAAAAAAGGUAUAGGAUUUGUCCGUUCUGUUCUGGUCAGAGCUCUUCUUUAUGGUAAAUUCCAGUAAAAAAGUAAACACUAUUCCAAUGAGGCAAGAUAGCAAGAGCAAGAUGUGAAUUUUCGUAGUUUGUUUGUUUUUCUAAACCUGGAUAUAUUAGGCCUCGGACAUGUAUUACGCGUGACCGAAAGUAAAUGUAAUUGCAUCCUUGUAAAUAAAUUGGUUUAUAAAAUUUCUUCAAGAUGAUUAAGUCUCACGUCUAGGUGAUUGAAUCUGAGACUCAAGGCCUGUUGAUGAAAAAGGGAGGAAAGGAUAUUCGUAUUACCCUGAGAGGACGCAAUUUUGUAGAUAAAUG